GCUCUCUCCCGUCCUUCUACAGCUGAGGGCUGCCUCCUCUCCAGCUAACAUUCAGCCCUCCUUCUCUGCUCACUUGGAUUCUAGCUCCUCCUGCCGCCUCAGGAACCUGACCACAUCUCUCUCUUGGUUAUCUGACUCCUCUCUUUCAACUGGCUUUAAACACCCUCAAGUCUUCCUUAACAACAACAAAACAGAAACAAGAAAACGCUGAACUUGACUUCUUUCUUCAUCCCGUCGUCCGGAGCUGCCUCCCCAGAACCACCAACAUGGCCUCCGACAAGCCAGAGCUACUGCCUCUUGAUGCCGCCGGCCAUUGGGAGCACAGCAAGGAGUGGUUUUCAGAGCAAGGAAGACAAGCUUGGGAUGCGUCAGGAAUUGGAAGUUUGCUUUGAGGACCAAAAGAUGGCUCAAACUUGGCCUGCUUUGUCAUCCGCGUGCCAGGCUGACUCAAGAGCACCAAUUACCAGCCAGCUGCCUUGGACUCCUCCUCACCAGGACCAUCUGGAGAAUCUGGCCUGCCCUGGCACUUCCCUUUCGAGCUUCUCUGCCUUUAGAGCUCCCUCUGGAGAUCAGCAUCAUGGUACCUGGGAAAGGUGCCUUCUACCCACCCCAAGUGGUCCCUCCUCAAGCUCUGGUAGCCCCUUCCUCAGGGACAGGCCCUUGGGGUCCCUGUUGUCACUCACAGAGCCCAAGGCCACCAGCACUCUCCUGCCUGGCCCUGCUGUGACCUGACCAGGGCUAUUCUUAACCACACGGUCCUUAGAGAUUCCCCCCACCCAGAGGAACUCCGGCCACCCCCCCUCAACACCCCCUUUCUUUGAAGGACUUUCCAUAUCAAGGACCGAUUAACAGGUAACAAACCUACAGGGCUCAAAUGUUCUCCAGCAGAUGGCUAGGGGGGCAAGGCAGCCUCAGGCUCUGAUCUUAUGGAGGCAGCCAGAGGCAGGGGCUAGAGGGAGAGGCCACUGCUCAGGCCUGAACCGGAAAUGUCUGAGAGUUCGUUCUUCGGCAGCAGGGGCUGUAAACAGUUUUAUUCUAGCUGUUGGGGAAACAGAGAAGAUAGGACAGAGUAACAAGGAGGACGGAAGGCUCUCCAGUGUUGCCUGCUCCCCCAUUGGCAGGGCAGGGCCUGUGGUAGUUUCUGUGCAGUAAGGGACCACCCCAAAAUGGGCCAGGUGGGUGGAGACCAGAGAAACCAUAGACAGGGAAUUUUUAAGUUAAAAACAAGGAAAAAGAACACGAAUAGCCUUGCAUUUCAUGAUUCCUGUGUCCACUGAGGUCUACCCCAGGGAGACGGAGGGAAAGUCGUGACCUCUGCUGUCACUGGGCUGGGCCAGGCUCAGGCCCCUGGG